UACGUAGGGGGGCAAGCGUUGUCCGGAUUUAUUGGGCGUAAAGAGCGUGUAGGCGGCCAGAUAGGUCAGCUGUGAAAACUCGAGGCUCAACCUCGAGAUGUCGGCUGAAACCAUCUGGCUAGAGUCCGGAAGAGGAGAAUGGAAUUCCCGGUGUAGCGGUGAAAUGCGCAGAUAUCGGGAAGAACACCCGUGGCGAAGGCGGCUCUCUGGGACGGUACUGACGCUGAGACGCGAAAGCGUGGGGAGCGAACAGG
rnacentral:rRNA from 1 species